GUGGCAAACAUCAAGCUCAAAGUUCAAGGGUCCAUCUGUUUCCUCUCCCUCCUCAAUGUGAGUUCUAUUCAGUUCAUCUCUUCUAGCAAAAUUCAGAUGCUCUUCAUCAGUGUCCAGGCAACUGUCCCAUCUCACAAUUCCCAAAAGGAGAGAUCGUGUUUCCCUAAAGCAGUUGAAAAGAGAUGAAAAAGUCUGUUUCAGGUUGUGAAGGGCACAUGUCACCAAGUCAAUAUCACUUACAGCCCUGGUGGACCUUAACACUUUAAACAUUCAGCAGUGGCAAAUAAGUAUCAAUGCUGGCAAUAAAGAUAUAAAUGCUUACACAUCUUGCCAAAGUAAUCCUUGCUUGCUACUCAGAAACCUAAACUUCCAUCAAGUACUUAGAUCCAGUUUUCCUCUGCAAUCAAUGUACCUGCAAAUUAACAUUUUGUUAUAAGCAGGACAUAAUGGCAGGAGGGCACUGUGAUUCAAGGUCUGCCUCACUGUCUUCUGCACCUCAACAAUAUGGACCUUCCAUCCAUGGAAUGCGGUUGUGACCUACUCCUAAUCCCUAAUUUGGGAAUACACAUCUUCCUGGGACAUCCUCAGAGAACUAUGGUGGGCUGAGCCUACCCAAGUCACUUUCCUAAUGUUUGCAGAAUUUGAACUCUUGUGCAUGCUACCCUAUCAGUGCAA